GAAAACAGAGAAUUCAUUACAAAUUUAUUGAUCCCUGUCCAUGAUAAUAAUUCAAUAUUAAACCAUUGAACAGGAUGCCUAUAUAUAUAAUUUUUUAUUACAUUCCAUGCAUUUGGCAUUAACGUACAUUAAGCAACAAACCAAACUCGCUUUAGUUCUGCAUUUGGUCGUUUGCUCUGACGGAACAUGGAAGAGCUUGCAUGGCACUACGUAGAGAUUUUAAUGAUGUUUGGGGUCUGGCCCUCCAGGACUGAUUCGUUUCGGUUCGUAAGGGCUUCCGGUCACAUCUGAAUCGUCUUCGAAGAGUUGUUUUGAUUUCUCAUUCAGUUCUUGCAGCAUUCUUGCUGGGUUCUUCCUCCCGAGGUAAGGCUGAUCAAGAAGUCUAGUUUCUGAUUUGGAAAACGUAAGAAACAGCAAAAGAAGGCACACCCAGAGCUUCAAAUUGGCCAUAAUAUCAAUAUUCCUCCUCUUUGGCUCUCGAGACUAGUAUAAAUUCUAGCUAGUCGUUU
rnacentral:lncRNA from 1 species